rnacentral:piRNA from 2 species
UCGACCUGGUAUUGCAGUACUUCCA